rnacentral:tRNA from 1 species
GGCGAGGUAGCUCAGUGGUAGAGCACUGGUCUGAAAAACCAGGUGUCGUCAGUUCGAUCCUGACCCUCGCCA